rnacentral:rRNA from 1 species
GGCGUUGAAGCAUGAUCGUAAGGACAUGUGGAGCGCUUAGAAGUGAGAAUGCCGGUGUGAGUAGCGAAAGACGGGUGAGAAUCCCGUCCACCGAUUGACUAAGGUUUCCAGAGGAAGGCUCGUCCGCUCUGGGUUAGUCGGGUCCUAAGCUGAGGCCGACAGGCGUAGGCGAUGGAUAACAGGUUGAUAUUCCUGUACCACCUAUAAUCGUUUUAAUCGAUGGGGGGACGCAGUAGGAUAGGCGAAGCGUGCGAUUGGAUUGCACGUCUAAGCAGUAAGGCUGAGUAUUAGGCAAAUCCGGUACUCGUUAAGGCUGAGCUGUGAUGGGGAGAAGACAUUGUGUCUUCGAGUCGUUGAUUUCACACUGCCGAGAAAAGCCUCUAGAUAGAAAAUAGGUGCCCGUACCGCAAACCGACACAGGUAGUCAAGAUGAGAAUUCUAAGGUGAGCGAGCGAACUCUCGUUAAGGAACUCGGCAAAAUGACCCCGUAACUUCGGGAGAAGGGGUGCUCUUUAGGGUUAACGCCCAGAAGAGCCGCAGUGAAUAGGCCCAAGCGACUGUUUAUCAAAAACACAGGUCUCUGCU